AGUGAACGCUGGCGGUAGGCCUAACACAUGCAAGUCGAACGGCAGCACAGUAAGAGCUUGCUCUUACGGGUGGCGAGUGGCGGACGGGUGAGGAAUACAUCGGAAUCUACUUUUUCGUGGGGGAUAACGUAGGGAAACUUACGCUAAUACCGCAUACGACCUACGGGUGAAAGCAGGGGAUCUUCGGACCUUGCGCGAUUGAAUGAGCCGAUGUCGGAUUAGCUAGUUGGCGGGGUAAAGGCCCACCAAGGCGACGAUCCGUAGCUGGUCUGAGAGGAUGAUCAGCCACACUGGAACUGAGACACGGUCCAGACUCCUACGGGAGGCAGCAGUGGGGAAUAUGGGACAAUGGGCGCAAGCCUGAUCCAGCCAUACCGCGUGGGUGAAGAAGGCCUUCGGGUUGUAAAGCCCUUUUGUUGGGAAAGAACAGCAGCAGGUUAAUACCCCGCUGUUCUGACGGUACCCAAAGAAUAAGCACCGGCUAACUUCGUG
rnacentral:rRNA from 1 species